GCUUUCCCCUUCAUUUGCGUGAUUCAUUCAGGAGCCAGCACUCCAAAGCACCCACCCACAGGCCCUGCUGACUGAAAGGCAGCAAGGAUAAGUGGUAGCUCGCUGAAAGGAAGGGGGUGAGAGGAGGUCGCCAUAGCAACACUGGGGGGUCGAUGCUUUUAUUGGAGAAAGAAAAAUCAGCGCUGCCUAUCCUCCCAUCUCUCACUCCUCACUCUUUCAAGUCUCCUCUCUCGCCCUGUCUCACCUUUCUUUUCCUCCGCGUUCAAUUCAUCUUCCAUGAGCUGACGUCAGCUGCCAGAAGAUGUGAAAAUUCAAGUCAUGUCUGGUGACGAAUUCCUUCCUGGUGGACCUUUGCCCAGCUGAGCCUGGGAAUGCUCACGGACUCAAGGACAAGCCUCCCACAUUGCAGCUAAAUGUAUUGGUGUCAUCUAUGAACAUGGAUAUCCUCCAUCUCACAGCUGGUGGAUACAGCACCUGUUAGUACAUGUGGGAUCUGCGGAUCGAGGACCUGGAUUCCCAAAUCAAACAGCAAGAAAUGUGCAUCACAGAAACCAUGUAACAGCACCGAGGGGAAGAGUUUUCUACUAAUAUAAGAGCGCUUCUGUCGCUCUUUAGGAGGAAGAAUCCUGAUGGUGCUCCCAUCGAUGGCACCAGCAGCCACCCUCUCCUCUGGUUUGGUGAAAUGAUUCGCCCUGUGGAGGACGGUCAUCAUUUCCCCCCACAACAUUGUGGACGGUCCCGCAAACCGUGGUGAGUGGCAUGCCAAAGAUGUCAGGAGGCUCCAAA